UUUUUAUAGCUCCUAGAAUGAGCAAAUCAGCUGUGCAUCAUCUCUGGGAUUUGGGCAGGAAAUGACUGAAUAUGGAAGAUGAAGCCAGUUGAUGAAGAUAUCAAUUCAAUGGCCACCAACUGCCGCACUGCUGCCUGAACCCAUCAGGUAUCUGCUGUGAAGACUGCAUUCACGAACAGCUUGAAUGUGACAGCUCAGAUGUUACAGCACGUAAAAGUAAACUUCACAACUGAACAACAGCAAGAUAGUUGUGGAGGGAUUCUUUUGGCCCAUAUUUCCAACAACCUCCCAACAAGAAUCAAUGGACAUCUCCACCAGGUGAUGUGUGAGGAGGACCGUCAGACUCAUGGAUUGUGAGCCAUGGAUUGCUCUCACCGUUACCAUCAGGCAGAUGUUAUCGCAGAACCUUCACCAGCAGACUGCGAGACAAGUUCUUUCCACAGGCAAUCAGACUGAACUGAACUCGUACCAGUAACACCACAC